CUUGGUCAUUUAGAGGAAGUAAAAGUCGUAACAAGGUUUCCGUAGGUGAACCUGCGGAAGGAUCAUUCAUAAUAAGUGUUUUAUGGCACUUUUUAAAUCCAUAUCCACCCUGUGUGCAAUGUCAGUUGAUCUUCUUCAUGGAGAUCGACCAAACAUCAACCUUUAUUUUUUAACUCUUUGUCUGAAAAAUAUUAUGAAUAAACAAUUCAAAAUACAACUUUCAACAACGGAUCUCUUGGCUCUCGCAUCGAUGAAGAACGCAGCGAAAUGCGAUACGUAAUGUGAAUUGCAGAAUUCAGUGAAUCAUCGAAUCUUUGAACGCAUAUUGCGCUCUUUGGUAUUCCGAAGAGCAUGCUUGUUUGAGUAUCAGUAAACACCUCAAAGCUUUUGGAUUUUUUAAUCGAAAAGCUUUGGACUUGAGCAAUCCCAACACCAAUCUUUUUGAGAUCGGUGGCGGGUUGCUUGAAAUGCAGGUGCAGCUGGACAUUCUCCUGAGCUAAAAGCAUAUUCAUUUAGUCCCGUCAAACGGAUUAUUACUUUUGCUGCAGCUAACAUAAAGGGAGUUUGACCGUAUUGGCUGACUGAUGCAGGAUUUCACAAGGGUCGGCAACGAUUCUUGUUAAACUCGAUCUCAAAUCAAGUAAGACUACCCGCUGAACUUAAGCAUAUCAAUAAGCGGAGGAAAAGAAACUAACAAGGAUUCCCCUAGUAACGGCGAGUGAAGCGGGAUGAGCUCAAAUUUAAAAUCUGGCUGGUUUACUAGUCCGAAUUGUAGUUUAUAGAAGCGUUUUCGGUGGCAGCCUGGGUAUAAAUCCUUUGGAAUAGGGUAUCAUAGAGGGUGAGAACCCCGUCUGGGCACUGGUGCUAGGUCCUCCAUGAUACGUUUUCUACGAGUCGAGUUGUUUGGGAAU
rnacentral:sRNA from 1 species